rnacentral:rRNA from 1 species
CCUUUAAUGUUUGAUGUUCUAACGUGGACCCGUGAUCCGGGUUGCGGACAGUGUCUGGUGGGUAGUUUGACUGGGGCGGUCUCCUCCUAAAGAGUAACGGAGGAGCACGAAGGUUGGCUAAUCCUGGUCGGACAUCAGGAGGUUAGUGCAAUGGCAUAAGCCAGCUUGACUGCGAGCGUGACGGCGCGAGCAGGUGCGAAAGCAGGUCAUAGUGAUCCGGUGGUUCUGAAUGGAAGGGCCAUCGCUCAACGGAUAAAAGGUACUCCGGGGAUAACAGGCUGAUACCGCCCAAGAGUUCAUAUCGACGGCGGUGUUUGGCACCUCGAUGUCGGCUCAUCACAUCCUGGGGCUGAAGUAGGUCCCAAGGGUAUGGCUGUUCGCCAUUUAAAGUGGUACGCGAGCUGGGUUUAGAACGUCGUGAGACAGUUCGGUCCCUAUCUGCCGUGGGCGCUGGAGAACUGAGGGGGGCUGCUCCUAGUACGAGAGGACCGGAGUGGACGCAUCACUGGUGUUCGGGUUGUCAUGCCAAUGGCACUGCCCGGUAGCUAAAUGCGGAAGAGAUAAGUGCUGAAAGCAUCUAAGCACGAAACUUGCCCCGAGAUGAGUUCUCCCUGAGACUUUAAGUCUCCUGAAGGAACGUUGAAGACGACGACGUUGAUAGGCCGGGUGUGUAAGCGCAGCGAUGCGUUGAGCUAACCGGUACUAAUGAACCGUGAGGCUUAACCUUACA